rnacentral:rRNA from 1 species
GAAGGUGGCAAGCGUUAUUCGGAUUUACUGGGCGUACAGGGAGCGUAGGCGGUUCGGUAAGCCCUUUGUGAAAUCUCCAGGCUUAACCUGGAACAGUCGGAGGGGACUGCUGGGCUAGAGGACGGGAGAGGAGCGCGGAAUUCCCGGUGUAGCGGUGAAAUGCGUAGAGAUCGGGAGGAAGGCCGGUGGCGAAGGCGGCGCUCUGGAACGUUUCUGACGCUGAGGCUCGAAAGCGUGGGGAGCAAACAGGAUUAGAUACCCUGGUAGUCCACGCCUUAAACUAUGAAUACUAAGUGUCGGCGGGUUACCGCCGGUGCCGCAGCUAACGCAUUAAGUAUUCCGCCUGGGAAGUACGGCCGCAAGGUUG